AACUAACGCUGGCGGCGUGCCUAACACAUGCAAGUCGUACGAGAAAGUUGGCUUCGGCCGAUGAGUAAAGUGGCGCACGGGUGAGUAAUGCGUGGAUAAUCUGCCCUUUAGUUGGGAAUAACGUACCGAAAGGUGCGCUAAUACCUGAUAAUACUGCAUAACUACUGUUGUGUAGUCAAAGAAGGCCUCUGUUUACAAGCUUUUGCUGAAGGAUGAGUCCGCGUACCAUUAGCUGGUUGGUGGGGUAAUGGCCUACCAAGGCUACGAUGGUUAGCUGGUCUGAGAGGAUGAUCAGCCACACUGGAACUGAGACACGGUCCAGACUCCUACGGGAGGCAGCAGUGAGGAAUAUUGCGCAAUGGGGGCAACCCUGACGCAGCAACGCCGCGUGAGCGAAGAAGGCCUUUGGGUCGUAAAGCUCUGUCCUUGGGGAAGAAACAAAUGACGGUACCCUUGGAGGAAGCCCCGGCUAACUACGUGCCAGCAGCCGCGGUAAU
rnacentral:rRNA from 1 species